AUUGAACGCUGGCGGCAUGCUUUACACAUGCAAGUCGAACGGAUCAGAGGGGCUUGCUCCUCUGGUUAGUGGCGAACGGGUGAGUAAUGCAUCGGAACGUACCGUGUAGUGGGGGAUAACCCGGCGAAAGUCGGAUUAAUACCGCAUACGAUCUACGGAUGAAAGUGGGGGACCGCAAGGCCUCACGCUAUACGAGCGGCCGAUGUCGGAUUAGCUAGUUGGUAGGGUAAAGGCCUACCAAGGCAACGAUCCGUAGCGGGUCUGAGAGGAUGAUCCGCCACACUGGGACUGAGACACGGCCCAGACUCCUACGGGAGGCAGCAGUGGGGAAUUUUGGACAAUGGACGCAAGUCUGAUCCAGCCAUGCCGCGUGAGUGAAGAAGGCCUUCGGGUUGUAAAGCUCUUUUGUCAGGGAGCAAAUCCUGUUUCUUAAUACGGAACGGGGAUGAGAGUACCUGAAGAAUAAGGACCGGCUAACUACGUGCCAGCCGCCGCAGUAAGAC
rnacentral:rRNA from 1 species